UGGGGAAUAUUGGACAAUGGGCGAAAGCCUGAUCCAGCCAUGCCGCGUGUGUGAAGAAGGCCUUUUGGUUGUAAAGCACUUUAAGUGGGGAGGAAAAGCUUGUGGUUAAUACCCAUAAGCCCUGACGUUACCCACAGAAUAAGCACCGGCUAACUCUGUGCCAGCAGCCGCGGUAAUACAGAGGGUGCAAGCGUUAAUCGGAAUUACUGGGCGUAAAGCGCGCGUAGGUGGUUAUUUAAGUCAGAUGUGAAAGCCCCGGGCUUAACCUGGGAACUGCAUCUGAUACUGGAUAACUAGAGUAGGUGAGAGGGGAGUAGAAUUCCAGGUGUAGCGGUGAAAUGCGUAGAGAUCUGGAGGAAUACCGAUGGCGAAGGCAGCUCCCUGGCAUCAUACUGACACUGAGGUGCGAAAGCGUGGGUAGCAAACAGGAUUAGAUACCCUGGUAGUCCACGCCGUAAACGAUGUCUACCAGUCGUUGGGUCUUUUAAAGACUUAGUGACGCAGUUAACGCAAUAAGUAGACCGCCUGGGGAGUACGGCCGCAAGCUUA
rnacentral:rRNA from 1 species